ACAGACAGGGAAGAGAGAAAGAGAGAAAUUGCCGGAGUGCGAGAGGGAAACCAAGUGAGAUCGAGAGACCUGCGAGAGGAAGCAGAGGAGAGGAGAGGAGGAGGAGAAGGAGGAGGAGGAGGAGGAGGAGGAGAGGGCAAGCAGAAGUUGGCGAGCUUGGUGGAAAGGGAUGGAGGACAAGUUAGAAAGAGAGCUAACUGAGUGACGGAGAGGUUUUGUAGGGGUAGGGUCAGGAGAGGUAAAGGGGAGGAAAAGGGAGUCGGAGGGAGGCAUAUGAGACAUUCCUUCAGUGAACGGGUCGACCGAGUGUGAGUGCAAGCGAGCCGGUAAAAUCGAUGUGGCGAAGUGUAGCUGUGCCACUACGGCGUGCAAAGGGUGUGCUGUACCCUAUACGUGAUCAGUAAUUUGCCUUGUGACGUUGUGUCGUACAGUCAAAUACAUUACAGUAUUAGGUGUUCAAUUUUAUGUAUCGACCAAAUCAGAUACGUCUAUGUAAUAAAUAUCCACUAUGUAUCUAAGAAAUAUGGAGCAAAAUGUUUUUUUCGAAGUAAUAUACGCAUAUGUUCAUUUUUUAAUGUCGCUAACAUGAAUCAAAAGAUCUUGUACUGACUUGCAUAGUCGUAUUAAGUAUCGUGUAUUGAGAGUGGCACCUGCCUCGGAAUCAGAAGAACAGAGCGCCCUCGCAGUGAUUCUACUAGUUACGCUCCUGAAAUACGCCGUGCCGACGUGUGUUUCAGCCAGUGCGAGGGCGUAUUAGCGAGAUGUAGACCUAGUGGUGGGGAUUGAAAGAACGAAGCGUACGUAUGAGAUGACGGCUCGACGAACGAACAUAACUGGUCAGACCAGCGGCCUGGCGAGAACGCAUAAUAGGUUUAGGUUGAAUCACGCAGUGUUUCUUGCUAUGUAAUCGCGUUUUUACAGUGGAUAGUGCGGUUCUAUGCUAUUUAUCAUAGUGUUUAGUUUUCAUUUUAUUUUCACGAUCGUUUACUAAUUGCUCACAUCUGGAUACAUUAUCAGUACAAUUUGUCGAUUAAAAAUUGUUGUGAUGUCUUAUUUGUGUGUUCAUAUUUAGAAGAAUGUUUUUGAGCGAUUUUAUAUUCGCAUAUCUGUGAUUACUAUGAUACAUAUUUUUUUGUAAUUUAAUAUGUUAGUUAUUUCAUUAUACACAACUUGAUAUUGUGCGCACUUGAUAUCGUGCGCACUUGAUAUCGUGAUUUGAGAUUAUAUCACUUCUGUUAUUGUUAUCACUUUUAUUACAAUUGCGAACUUUGAUAAAAUUAUGAAAUAUCGAAGUGCGGAAAUCAUUACUAAAAUAGUGUCAGCGUUUAUGCGUGUCUUCUGUUUUCUGACGGCACAGUUGAACAAGACGACGAAAUAGAAGUAUAUACCUCAUACUAUCGAUGUGAUACUCAGACAAGGAGCAACGUUGCAAUAUUUCGGAUACUGUGACAACAUCGCAUCAAUGCAGUGUUUCCAUUUUUCGAUGUAGUAAACAAGAAAAAUAUUAAAAAAGUCUUGAUAAUACGUUGAUAACUGCAGCGAGGAAGGUUCGAAACUAUCGAUAGCUGCGUUUCAAGUAACAUCCGCCGGAGGCGAGCAGUGUCGUUAAUGAUGGCGCUGCUACUUAAUACAGAAAUAAGAACUUUAUUAACCUUUCUCAGAUCAGACUGUAACCGUGAAGGAAUUAGUCUGAUAUGCUACUAGUAAUAUCGGUAGCAUAACACAGCUUUGUAACUAGGGAAAUCUCAUUAAUAACGAAUUAAAGACUCAAUGCGAUAUUUACUGAUUUGAUUUUUAUUAGAUGAAUGUCUCCAAGUUGGUAAUAACCUAAUAACGGUGGAAAUCAGUUGGGGGCGAUGGGUGAUGCAGAUGAUAAAGGAAAUAUGCGAGAAAACAACAAAUAAUUAGGAACAAUACGAAUGUAUGCUGAACAAAAAUCUUUGUUGCAGAUGACACACAGUAUUGUGCCAUUAAUCCGCUGCUGUUGAUUUUAUUCGUAAAACAUUCGGAAAGAGAUUGGCUGAGAAACAAUGAAGAUGGGACUGGAAAUUCAUUUGACUGUGAAAUUUGUGAUCGACGUUUUAGCAAUUGUCGAUGAAGAUAUCAAGAAAAUCUUCAAAUCGUUAAAAAGUUAUUCCAAGGAAAAUUAGCUCGGCAUGAAUCUUUUUCAUUACCUGGAAAAGAAGAAUAUAUCUCUUGGACGUGUUCAUCAGCCCGAUGUUACUUUAUAGAAUCGAGAAAUGGCGACAGUAAAAAAAGGACGAAAUGGCGAUAGGAUUGUAUAGAAAUAUUCCAGAUUACACGUGGAGAUUGGAAUCAAGCAUAGCGAGAAUAAGUAUACAGAUCAAACAGAGAACCGAUAAGUAUGGCAUACUGAUCAUAGUUAAAAUGAAAGAAAACGAUGAUUUAGGAUUUGCCUAAAAGAAGAUUUGGGGGUACAAAAUGGCAAAUCUUUAGAAUGGGAAACAGAGUCUAUUAAAGCUUUAGAAGUAGGAAUAAAGCUAUCGUCAUCUGAUCAGGAAUAUGACAUCCUGGAGAAUAAUGAAAACUAAAAAAUGUAAUGGCAAAUAUAUCCGAACAUAUAAAAAGAUAUUUAGAUUGUGAUUAGACUACGGAUAUUUAUGCGAAACAUUCUUAUAGACAUAAAUAAAAAAUUGGAAUAGAAGAGUAGUGUUUUACUCUUCAUAUAUAGUAAUCUUAUAUAUUAUAUUUUUGCAUAUCUACACUUGUCAUAAAUGCAUGCAUAUCUGCAUUUUAGUGAUAACGAAACGGUUAAGCGUCAUAAGUUUUUGAGGAAAUGAAAUAUCGCGUGAAGUAUUCGAUAGUAUUCGAUAACUUUAUCUUACUACUUUUAUUCACUGAAUAACUUAAGAAAUCAAUUCAUGGACAAAAUUUUCCAAUUUACAAAAAAUAGUGCAAUUAACAUUUUGAGAAAAAGAUUCUAUUACACGAUUAUAGAGCUCGUCAAACAGCACGAAAUUUUCCGUUAAGAUUUUUUCUAACUUCAUUUAAAGGAGGGAUAAUAUAAUUUGGCUGAAAUGUUAGAAUUCAAAAGCAUUAUGUGUUAUGCAUUAUUCCCAAAAUAUAUCAUUCGACGAAAUCAUACAUUUCAGUUUCGUCAUUGUUAUUAAAAUAGUAUAAAUUAUGUCACGCAUUAUGAGUGAAUAUGUGUAUGUGUACAUAUGUAUAUCUAACAAAAUUCCAAACGGCAUUAUACUUUAUUUUUUGCCCGAAAUACAGCGUAUAAGGCGCAUUUUUCCUGGGAUGAAUAAAAGAUUGCAUGAAUUGUAUUAUAAUAUCUUGUAACUCGGAUGGUAAGGUCGGAAUAUUCGCCUAGAUAUUCGAUAUAUAAAGUAAUUAUGUCAAAAUAUUUAUCUAUAACUCUUCAUAAAGUACAGAAUGUUACAUAUAAAAAUAUGUCUCCUUUUACAAUUUUUCACAUAUAAUAGGAAUUGUAGGUAUAUUUGUUAACUGUUACCAAAUACAUAUAUAAACAUACAUAUAAAACUGAAAUACUAUUCAAUAUUUUCAUUGAAUGUAAUUAUACUUUUGAAAAUGUUAAAUAACUUCAUACAAAUAUAGUAUGUCUAUACAAAAAUUAGUGUACAUCGUUUCAAACGAUAAUAAACAAUUAAAAGGGCAAUAGACAGCAAUAAAUUUCUUUUACUUUUUUCAGUCAUUUAGAAAAAGAUCCAUUGCCCACUUUUAUUAAAUUUAAUUAUACGAUCUUAUGCUCAAAAUGAAUACAUUUAUUUGUGUAUUCAAUUUAAAUAUUUAAUUUGACUUUAGGUUUUUAACAAAUCUUAACUGAGACCUUUAACAUCAUAUCUCAGUUAAUAACAGAAAAAAAAUUUUGAAGCAUUCUCAUAUUAUAUAAUCAAACCAACAGUUACAAUUAACAAUUGUUGCAUUAACAUAAUAAAGCAAAAAUUUCUUGUAUAAUAUUUUUGAUAAUUUGGUUUCAUCAUGCUUGACAUAAAUAUAACACUCGUUGGAACAAGAUAAAGGGCAUUGGAAUAAGCUUAGACUAAUUUUUACAAGCAAAAGAUUGUAUAAUUAUAUUUAUGUUGUGUAUAAAGCUUACUGUUAAUGUCAUUUAUGAAAAUAAACAUGCAAUAUUAAUUUCAUCUACAUAUACAUAUAGAUCAUGACGGUAUCAGCCAUGACAUGACAUUAAUAAUAUUAAUUUUUAAUUUGUCAAUAUCUAAUAUAACAUUUUUAUAUUGCGAGCAAAUAUAAUAUAUUACAUAAAAGAAUAAGACUUGCCAUGCUUUAUAGGUUAUUAAAACAUAUUGAUAGCAAAUUGUUAACCUACUAGCUAUAUUGUAGUAUGAUAAAAUAACAGUGGGGCUCAUAGUAUAUUACAUUCUAUACACAAUACUUUAUUUUAUUUACCAAAUUAAAGAAAGUGUAAAUUGCAAAAGAUUAUUUAUUAUCUCCUGCUUUCCAAAAGCAGUAUUUUGCAGAAUCCUGAUUACCACUGACAUUUUAAUGAUAAAAUGUAAAAUUAUAAUAAAUAAAAUGUGUAAUUUUAUAAUUUA